UUUUGCAUAGCUCUUUAACAUUCCAGGCACCAGGGACAGAAUCUGGCUCCAGUGAUGCCAUACAUUUACACUACAUUACCAUCGCUAUGCCAGAGUUCCAAUGGAAUAGGAAUGCUUCUAAUGGUGUUCUACCACCAUUAUUACCAGUAUCCAGCCAUCAGUGAAAGUGUUAAGCAGCCAGAGAGAAAUCAGCCAAAAAAACCUCACCUGUUUGUAGAAUUAAUUCAGUGUUCAUGGGAGACUGAAGUCCUUGAUCCACAGAACAGGCACACGUGGGCCAGCUCAGGCCAUCCAUCCUUCCUUCAACUGACCUACCAGUAUGCCUCAAGAGUACAGCUGAGUGUGCAGCAUGUGUUUCCCACUGAUACCAAGUUACACCAAAUGGGGGCACAUUUUGCAUGGGUUGAUUUAAUAGGCAGAAGUUGAUUCAACGCUAGGAAAGUGAAAAAUACAUAAAGCAACAAAAUCUCAUCUGGAAGGAUACCUGAGAAAGAUCAACAUUCAUGUGUCAAUAAUUCACAUUUGCCAGAGGGUAGAAUAUUGAGAGAAAUAUAAGAAUAUAUAAACUACUCUUUAAUCUCAGAAGCAAGGCACACAAGGAGCUUGGUUCAGGUUGACACUUCACUCCAGAACAAUUACCAUGCAAAAGCAUAGCACUGUCUGGAAAGAGAGCAGCCAGCCUUGAGGAAGUGGUACGGAGAUGCUCAUUUGGACACAAGAUAUAAAAGGGUUACAGACAAAACAAGAACCUUUUUUUUUUUUUCAUCCAAAGCCCCAGUUGCAACAGUGAAUGAGUUUGGAAAACAUACAAGGGAUGUGAGAGUCAAACUAACAUGUCUCUCUCCAGAGAUACUGAGGUGUGCUCCGUGUUGGGUGAGGGUGGGAUGCCUGGUGCUAUAACCAGUUAGGCAUAGCAAAGAAACAUGAAAAGUGUAACAGUGCUGUGAGUAAAAAGAGGAGGAUGGAUGACCUAAGACACCUGAUCCAACAGGGAAGUGAUAAGUGCCUGGAAAUCAGGCUGGAUCUCAGACAUGCUGGUCAAAAGGAAGAACCAGAAAGAAGCUUUCUGGAAAUGCAAGUUGCGGUGUUUUUGCAUUCUAACGAUCCCAUCUGGAGGUUAGCUAUUAGAACUGAAUGAAAAAUGCCAUUUUUCGUGAGAGAGAUACGGAAUUGUUUUUGUUUAAAAUUUUCUGCAAUUUUUUUUUGUGAGGGAUGGCAAUGAAGAAACAGAG